ACGCACGCUGGCGGCGUGCCUAAUACAUGCAAGUAGAACGCUGAAGGAGGAGCUUGCUUCUCUGGAUGAGUUGCGAACGGGUGAGUAACGCGUAGGUAACCUGCCUGGUAGCGGGGGAUAACUAUUGGAAACGAUAGCUAAUACCGCAUAAUAGCAGUUGUUGCAUGAUAACUGUUUGAAAGGUGCAAUUGCACCACUACCAGAUGGACCUGCGUUGUAUUAGCUAGUUGGUGGGGUAACGGCUCACCAAGGCGACGAUACAUAGCCGACCUGAGAGGGUGAUCGGCCACACUGGGACUGAGACACGGCCCAGACUCCUACGGGAGGCAGCAGUAGGGAAUCUUCGGCAAUGGACGGAAGUCUGACCGAGCAACGCCGCGUGAGUGAAGAAGGUUUUCGGAUCGUAAAGCUCUGUUGUAAGAGAAGAACGAGUGUGAGAGUGGAAAGUUCACACUGUGACGGUAUCUUACCAGAAAGGGACGGCUAACUACGUG
rnacentral:rRNA from 1 species